UACGUAGGGUGCGAGCGUUAAUCGGAAUUACUGGGCGUAAAGCGUGCGCAGGCGGCCGAGUAAGUCGGGUGUGAAAGCCCCGGGCUCAACCUGGGAAUGGCAUUGGAAACUGGCUGGCUAGAGUGUGGCAGAGGGGGGUGGAAUUCCGCGUGUAGCAGUGAAAUGCGUAGAGAUGCGGAGGAACACCGAUGGCGAAGGCAGCCCCCUGGGCUGACACUGACGCUCAGGCACGAAAGCGUGGGGAGCAAACAGG
rnacentral:rRNA from 1 species